rnacentral:rRNA from 1 species
AGGACUAACGCUGGCGGCGUGCCUAACACAUGCAAGUCGAACGAGGGGUAGCAAUACCCCUAGUGGCAGACGGGUGAGUAACACGUAGUCAACCUACCUCUUAAUGGGGGAUAACUAGCCGAAAGGUUAGCUAAUACCGCAUACGAUCGUCGAGUGGCAUCACACGACGAUGAAAGGAGCAAUCCGUUGAGAGAGGGGACUGCGUCCCAUUAGUUAGUUGGUGGGGUAAUGGCCUACCAAGACUCCGAUGGGUAGCUGGCUUGAGAGAGCGACCAGCCACACUGGAACUGAGACACGGUCCAGACUCCUACGGGAGGCAGCAGUGAGGAAUUUUCCGCAAUGGGGGAAACCCUGACGGAGCGACGCCGCGUGUGGGAAGAAGGCCUUCGGGUCGUAAACCGACUGUCGAGGGGGACGAGUAUUGACGGUACCCCUGGAGGAAGCCCCGGCUAACCUACGCGCCAGCAGCCGC